rnacentral:rRNA from 1 species
GCUAACGCUUCCGUAUGAAGACGAGUCUCAUCCGGUAGAGCGAAUGAUUAGAGGUAUUGGGGUCGAAACGGCCUCAACCUAUUCUCAAACUCCAAAUAGAUGAGAACCUCGGCUUGCUUAAAAGUGAAGCCGUGGGUAGUCAGAAGACGGAUCAAAGUGUUAAGUGGGCCAUUUUUGGUAAGCAGAACUGGCGCUGUGG